GCCAUCUGAGCAAGGAGGGGCAUGGGGGGGCAUGCCCCUGGCAGGGUUCCAGCCAGUGAAGGAGGAUGAUGGAGGGCUUUGGUAGCUGUCACUGCCGCUGAUGUCAUGGCCAUCCGCUCCAGCUAAUCCCCCCUCCCUUCUUCACUCGCUCCUGGUGGGGCGGGGGGAGGAGACAGCCAGAGUGUGCAGCCCACGGCACCGCCCCUAGGGGAGAAGCCGAGGGGCAGAGCCUUCUGCCGCAAAGGCAGAGAGGGGCCUUCCCAUAAAGGGGGAGUGGCACCUCUUCGGCUCUCAGGCCUGUGAGUUUCCAUAGAAAUCCCGAACGCCGGGGAGCUGCCUCAGAUGACGUCAUCGAUGGGCGCAGGUGCACAGCCCGGGUUCAGCGACGCAGGUGAACUCUGACAAAUCAAUCUCUUUUUGUGGAAUUACUGCAAGAAUACCUUUUUCUGCAAUUCCUCUUGCUGGUUCAUCAGCAAAGCGAUUUCCCAAUUCUGGAGCAGUUUUCCCUUUUUGGUGAACUCUACAGUGCAUUAUACCUACUUCUGUGGGAUUUUUAAUGCUCUCUAAGAGGGCCUUUUGCGAGCACACAAGUUAACAGACUAAACAAGCAGACUCCAGCUAAAUCCAAAAUUAGUUUCUACACCAAGUUAAAUUUCUAAUCCCGUGUCUCACAAGGUCAGGGAAGAAAGGGGUAGGUAAGUCAAAGCAGAGGAUGCCUACCUGGGCCUUCUCUUGCCUACCACUCCAUUGACUUGACUUGCCAUUCCUACCAAACCUUGCAUUUCCUUGCCAUUCCUGGCCAUCCCUUGCCUUGCCUACUUGUGUCUUGCUUUUCAUUGCCUUUCAUACCUAUCCCCCCCCUUUAACUACCUACCCCUUACUUCCCUCACCUUGCCUUGCCUUUCUCUUCUUUGACUUGCCUUGCCUUUCCUAGCAAUCUCUUGCCUUUCCUAGCAAUCUCUUGCUUUGCUUUACAACCGCCGCUAUGUCCUUGCCUUGCUUUGAUUUCCAAUUCAUUACCUACCCUUGCCUUGCCUACUUCUACCUUGCCUUGCUUUCCUAUACCCCACCUACACUUUACUACCCCUUUCAUUCCUGGCCUUGCCUUACCUUGCCUGCACCUCCUCUGAGUUCCUUUCCCUUGCCUACCCCAACCUUGAAUUGUCUUUCUCACCGAUCGGCUACUUUGCCUGUCCCUUCCUACUCCUCCCUUGUCUUGCAUUACAUUGCAUUGCAUACCUAUCCCUCGCCUUGACUUCCCUUUCCCUUUAUUUUCUGGCUUUGCCUUACCUGUCCUGCCCUUCCUUUGACUUGCCUGCUGUUGAGUUAUGAGUGGGUCUUGGGUCUUCAAAGACACAGGAGCAGUUGUUGGUUGUUGUAAAGUUGUUUAUUGCAUGAAUACAUCAGCCUUGAAGGUGAAGAGUUCAGAAUAUUAAAGUUCAUGCUAAAAGCUUUCUGGCAUAGAGUCCCGAUGUUCCGAGCAGAAGCAGUAGAAGCAGCAGAAGCAGUAGCAGCUAGCAGAAGCUACUACCACUUUUUCUUCUUUUGUUUUUUUGCACCCCAAUACAGGGGGAUUUUAUUAAUAAAUCAUCCAAUCAGCUAAAAACACGAUUCUAAAACAUUCUUCCUACACCUAUUCGAGCUUGAUUCUAAUGUGCGAAAGUAGUGUCGGUUCUUACACAAAAUCUACGCAUAUAGUUCUAUCUGUUCACGCAAAUAGUUCUAUCUGUUCUAUCUAGAAAUGCAAGCAAUGUUCUGCUAUGGUUUUGUUAUGUCCGGAGCAAAGUUAAUUUUGUGAAGGGUACCACUAAUGAACUUUAAACUAGGCUUUAGGGCUUUUUACUAGCUAACACAGUCUCUUAAGGCACUUAAGAUAUAUUUCUACUUACUUAAAACUAAAACUUGCACUCCUACUUCAUGUCUGUGUGGCUUAAUAUAUUUCAGUUUCUCUAAAGGCUCCAAUUCAAUCCCUGCAUUCCUUUCUCUCUAUGAGGGACUCAGAGUAGCUUCUAUUUCAUGCAUUCCAACAGCCUGCCUUGUAUAUCACUCCCUUGACUUGCCUACCCUUGCCUUGCCUUGAACUGUCUACGACUCCUUUGCUUUGCCUUGCCCGAGCAGUCUGUCAAUGGUCCAUUAGGGGACCCCUUCACUGAACAGUCCUGCGGGGUUGGAGGGUGGUUCGACUGAUUUAAUCCAACACACCAACAGCAUAAGGGAGACCCCUCAGUGGGUCUUUCCCUUUUGUUUUGCCAGUGCCCAUGAAGGACUCACACUAGCAGUUUACAGAAUAACACUAUUCAUUUAAAAUCAUGACAGGUUAAGGUUCAAGGAUUGUCAGUGAUAGUAUCUGACUGCAAAAAUGUAUUUGAAGGAAUAUACAGAAAAGCUGUAAUCCCCAAUAAAAUAUUCAGCUCACAUACAGUAUGAUUCUUACCCAAUAGGCAUCCCUGUGGGGGGCAAGACAGGUUCAGCCCCUUGACUGAUCCCAGAAGUUAUGGCAGUUGUGAUGGAGUCUUCCCUAACUUUCCCCCAUUCUUGACUUACUUUUAUACUGUUUCUUUGUGUUUAGGUGGAGCUUGAGUGACUCUAGUCAUACAUACCUUUGUUACUGGUUGCUGUAAAAUUAUCUCACUUCCUUUUAGAGAUACAGUCAAAAAGAAUAUAGAGAGCAUGCCCAGUGAGGGUUGGUUGUACCUCGGAGGUGGGUGACUUUAGGAUGGAGGUGUGCAGUAAUAUUACUAUUAGACUUUAAUGAACCAAGUUCAUAUGAAGAGAGAAAUUUUGCCACCGUUGCUGGCUCAGCAGCAAGACACCUUCACCUCUCUCCCCUAGUAUGUGAUUUAUCAGCUGCAAAGUACCAUUGAGUUCCCCUUCCUGCGAGGAUUUCCACAGAGCCUGGACGAGGUGCCUCCACUCUACUCCGCCCUCCAUUCUACCCCACUUAGCAGGUGCAUGUGUAUGGGGAAUCAUUGUGGAAUAGGUUUCAAAUCAUACCAACUUUGUUUUGCUUUACUGAGGAGGCCAAGCAAGCAAGGCACGGGACAGGAAGUUGUCAGGUGCAGUGAUGGGUUGUAGGAAUGUGCCCCCUGUUGACAGAGUGACCAAAUUAUCCUUUGUCUCCUAAAAAAGAAAAAAAGCCCAGAAGUUUCUCUCCUCAAUUUGGUAAAAAGACACCUCAUAGGACCUUGGGGACUUCACCUCAAACUUAAGGAUACCCAAUUGGACAGAAGCCAAAAGGUACCGCCUAAGCAAUUCACUAGAAAAAGAAGAGAACAAAUGAAGUGUUAUAAGUAAAAAUGAAAAUAUGCCAAAUUAUAAUAAAAAUAUAAAAAGAAUUUAUUUAGUGACCAUAAUACAGUCCCGACAGCCAACAAUCAAACAGACAGCAUAACACUCCCAGGAGGUAAGCUGGGUCAAUGUGGGAAAUGGUCUCUAUCUCACCAAGUCCACCUCGUCCACACCGGCUGCUCCGAGGCAGCGGUUCUUAUACGAUUUAUUUUGCCCACGGCAGAGUCCCUUUGUUUCUUUCUGAGUUCUUAAUAUUCAAGUUGGUUUCUUUCUUCGGUUUGGGCUGCACAAAGCCUUUGUCCGGGAAUGGAAUAAUACACUUCCCCGAUUCCCGGAAUCUGGCAUUCAGAUGGAAGGUGUUGAUGGCUCUGGUCAUCUCAGAUAGGUAUCUUGUCCGGGCCAUCAUCUCUUGGGCGUCACGGGGCACAUGCUUUCAUGAAUGCCCAUCUCCUGUGCAGCCGAGGUUUCCUUUGCAUGUAAAUGUUGUGGUGCCUCUCUGCCCAUCUGCCACGGUUUCGCCAUCCCGAGGAUAAAAAUUCCUCCCUCUCCCUUUCCCUAUAUACAAUAAGUUCAUUUUUAGAUAUAUUGUAAAAAUCAUAGUCUUUUCUCUUAGAAGUUAUAAGCCUGUUCUUAUCAUGGUUGUAUGUCCAUUCAGUUACCAGCAAGAAGGGAUACCAUUAUAAAUUAGAGAUGUUUUUAUACAUAUUCCUUUUAUAUAAUUCUAUCUGCAUGAAUUACUAACUAUAUCUUUAAUAGAAGUAAUUGAUUUUGUGGGGUGUUUUUACCAGGAGCAAGAACCUCUUGCCCCGGCUCAUUUUUUCUCUGUAACGAGCUUUGUUAUUUUGCCUUUUAUUAAAACUUUUCUGUUUCCAACACUACCUCAGAAGCCAUCCUGCUGAUUUUCCGACAUUGAGGUAGCUGGGCUAUCUUGGGUGUGAUAUGUUUCUCUGAGAGCUCAUAAGACCUGGCUCGAGGAGAAAAUAUAUCAAUGGGUAGGCAAGGAAAAGAUAGGGAGCGAUAGGCAAUGAAAGGCAAGGUCAGGCAAGAAAGAGGCAGGCAAGUCACAAUGAGAGAUGGGUAGGAAAGAUAAGGCAAGUCAAAGGAUGGGAAGGUAGAACAAGGCAAGGCUAGGAAAGAAUGGGAUAGGAAAUUCAAGGCAAGGCUGAAUAUGAAAGGCAAGGGAGGAAUAGUCAGGGCAAGGCAAAGCAAGGGAGUGAUAUACAAGGCAAGGCAAGGGAUGGUCAGGCAUGGCAAGGGAAUGCAACUUUGGGUAGGCAAGGCAAAUGAGGGGUAAGCAAGAGAAAUCCAGGAAGUUGUAGGCUAGGAAAAGCAAGGCAGGGGAGAAGAAGGUUUUAUGAUCUGUCCUAAUCACACAGGAGCAAGGAAAAACUGUGAAUAAGGCAGGAUGAACUGAGGCUCGAAAUAUUCCCCAAAACAAGAUAAAAACUAAACUGGGUUAAAUAUUGAUACCAAAAAUUUGAUCUAUUUUAUUUAAAAGAGUCAAAGAGAAAGAAAGAAAGAAAGAAAAGUUUAAAAAAGUUAGAAAAAGCUAAGGUUACUUUAAAAAGCAUAGGGUAGCUCACCACCACACUGUUGCUACCUUUUUUGCUACUGAGAUGGGGGGGAGUGUUGCCAGGAUUUUUAGUGAAAAAGCCUCUGCUAGGAUUUUUCCUGUCCUGAGGAGCUGAGGGCCUCAGGAAAGAAAUGUAAACAAUAACUAUCUGCUGCUGUGGAGUGCCACAGGUGAAUCUUCCAUUGGUCCAUGUGGAUUGUUUUCAGUCAGUGACCAAUCACAGCCACCUGUGCCAAGGCUGUGAGCAGUCACAGGAUUUUUGUUAUUCAUUCCUGUUCUAUUCUUGUCUUUGUAGCCUUCUGAUUUUCUUCUCUCUGUUCUUUUAGUAUAGUUGUAAUGUAGUAUUUUAGUAUAAUAUAUAACAUAAUAAAUCAGCCUUCUGAUCAAAUGGAGUCAAGCCUCGUGUCCUCGUCCGAGGGGCCCAAGUCAAAGCAAGAGGGGAGCCCCAUAGCGGGGUGCAAGGAUUAUCAUCAUCAACAACAGUGACCACCACAACCAUGACCGUCAGCAACCACAAGAAGAAGAAGAAGAAGAAGAAGAAGAUAAUGAUGACAACAGAAGAAGAAGAAAAGAAAGAAUAAAGAAGGCUGUGGUCCCUGCUGCUGCUCAGAACAUCAGACUCGUCCCUGCUGCUUGGGACAUUGGACUCUGUACCUAGGAACAACUGUUGCUGCUGCUGCUGCUGUUCCUGCAUGGAACUUGGGACUCUAUACCAGAGAGCAGCCUUGCAGCUGCUGCUCUUGCUUGGGACUCUAUGCCAGAAAGCUUUUGCAUGGACUUUAACACCUUGAACUCUUUGCCUUCGAGACUGAUGUAUUCAUGCAGUAAACAACCUUAUAGCAACCCACAACUGCUCGUGUCUCUUUGAAGACCCUAGACCCACUAAAGCUCGACACUUGUAUACUCUAUUGUCUGCUUUUUGCCAGAUAUGAGCCCUGUGCCUUUAAGUUGGAUCUAAGAGAGAAGGGGGGGAAGCGGUGGAAUUCUUUUGGCGCCUGAGUUCAAAACAGAGAUAAGCCACUCCGUUUUUUUUUCCCAGCUCUGGGUUUUCUUUCUCCAGCGAGAGAGACUGAGCUUUUCUUUGCUUUUUAAGCUAGCUUCUCAUUUGUUAGCUGAGACGAGAGGUUUUUUCCUGGGACUGUGGCUUCUUCUUUUUCUUUUUCUUCUUCUUCUUCUGGAACUGUUCAGCUUUUCUGUGGUCUGAAACACCAGAACAUUGUCUGGGAGAAGAAAACCUCUGUUCCCGGAGAUAAAAGAACUUUUGUUUCUAUACUCCUUGGGGAUGUCAAAUACCAGAAAUAUGGAAUAGCCCUCAAACAGGACAAUGGGAAUAUAUCCAGACAGUUCACUGGUGUCUAGACUGGGGAGGGAGUCCAGGCCUCCCAGAGGACGCCUUACAGGUCAGUAUAAAAUAUUCUGAUUUAAUAAGGUCAAGGCAAAAAGAUCCAAGGGCAAAGUGGAAUUGCACAAAAAUAUUCACUUGUACUAGUAGGAAUCUUGAGGUACAGUGGCUCAUGACUGUGGCGCAGGUUCUAAUUAUUGGGAUGUGUUUGUAUAAAUGAUUCUACCUUUCUUAAUGACACGUGGUUUCACCUAAUAAACAAUGAGACUUGGAGAGAUAUAGACUGUCAGCAGGACAUGAUAAAAUCAUUAAGACCCACAGUAUGGGUGGGAAGUAAUGGAAUUUGGACUACACAUUUGCCCUUGGUAGAGUCAAGAGCACAAUGGACACUGGGAGUAUUAACAUUAUGCCCCUUGUGGAAGGAGUCACCAUUGGGAACCUGACUAUGGGGAAAAGUUAAACAUGAUGAAACUUGGAAACACCCCUGUAAAGGAACCAUAGUGGGAUGGAUUUUAGAAUCCAUCUUUACUCUGCAAAUAUCCACCUUCAGGAACAGGCUGGCCAUACACAAUUUGACUCUACAAAUGGCAACUUUAGCAAAUGCAACUCAAUUGAGGUUUACUGAAAUAAAUGAACAAUUGCAAGCCAUGACUAAAAUGACCUUACAAAACAGAUUGGCUUUAGACCUAUUGCUGUUACAUGGAGUAUGUGGUUAUUUGAAUUUAAACAAUACUUGUUGUGUGCACAUUCCAAAUGUGACUGCUAAAUUGGAUGAUCAGAUAGAGAGAGAUAAAAUUGGUUGUUGUAUAUAGCAGAGAAUUAAUGGCAGAAUUAGAACGUAACUGGUUAAACAAUAUAUUUAAAGGAUUUGGAUUUUCUCUGACUGGUUGGGUGGCCUCACUUUUACAAAGUAUAAUUGUGAUCAUAGUAAUAAUUGUGAUUAUGAUGCUUGCUUUAAGCUGCAUAAAAAACAUGACUGCUAAUGCAACACGAGGAACUUAUAUGAUGUUAGUAAAAAAGCAAAGUGAGGCUUAUGAAGGCUUGAAGGGAAGACAAGCUUCACAAGUCUCAAGGGGCGGUGGGAGGAAUGUUGCCAGAUGAAAAAUUUUCUGCACCUGGUGGGCUAACACAAUGCUUAUAUUUCAAAAACCACUGAUCUAUGGAACUGCACAAUGCCCAUUGUGUAAGAAGGAGAACUGGAAAGCAACCAGCCCAGUUGUGCCAACUUUUACCAGUUCACUGGGCAGUCAGGUAUGACUUUGGGGUCGCCAACCACCAGGACCCACCAAAGAGACCCCCAGGACAGAAAAACACGUGUAAAGGGGAGGGAACAUAUGUUAAUUAUUUUGGGGAAAUUAUUAUAUGUAUGUUUAUUCUUGGAAAAUCAAAGAAUAUGUAUGUAAAACAGAGUAUAGAAGCAGGAGUUUUUCUGUACCCAUCAUGCACAAUAUUUCAGAGGAAAUAUUCCCUCAUUCAUACAGCCAAAUAAAGAAUGCCUACUUCUUAAUGUUA